rnacentral:rRNA from 1 species
UACGUAGGGUCCAAGCGUUAUCCGGAAUCACUGGGCGUAAAGCGUGCGUAGGCGGCGUGUUAAGUGUGGUGUUAAAUCGUGGGGCUCAACCCUAUCGAUGCAUCGCAUACUGGCAUGCUAGAGGAAGGCAGAGGCAAGUGGAAUUUGUAGUGUAGCAGUGAAAUGCGUAGAUAUUACAAGGAACACCAAUGGCGAAGGCAGCUUGCUGGGCCUUUUCUGGCGCUGAGGUACGAAAGCGUGGGGAGCGAACAGG